CUUUAUUGCUACAUUCCUUUUUGGUGCUUAUUUCACUCAUGCUUCUGAGAGGAAAUGUGAUGAAAUAAAAUUUGGAAGAGGGACAUAUGACAAGAAAAAGGAAUGCUGGAAGUCUGCGCCCACGAAACCGAAUUUGAAGGUCAAGUCUGACGGUCAAUCUUUGUCAAUCAGGAGAAAGAUUCAGCGUGCAUUAAAAUGCAGACCGGGAAUAAAAAAGUUUCUUGAUCAAGAAUCGUGUGACUGCAAUCCGAGCAAAUUGUCAAAUAUUGGACUGAAAAACGUCUGCCGACACAAGUUUAAGUACGUUACAAAGAUAAUCAAAAAUGGAAAAAAAUGCUAUGUUGUAUUUCCACAACGGCAAUGUAUAACAUACGCAGACUGUGACAGACAACGGGGUUGCUCCAAGAGAGCCCGCGUAACAAGUGCCUGUUUGCCUGAUCGACACCGUUACUUCAAUGUCUGGGUAUUCUGUCCUCACAAUCAUCGGUUUGAACUGGAAACCCUGGAGUUACCUCAAUGCUGUACCUGCAGAGAAUACAAACUCUGUAGGUAAGAAACGAAAGUAACAGAGAAGAAAGCACCAUAGUAUGGGAAUUCAAUGUUGUAACACUGAAAAAGGUGAAAAGACAGAUGGUAGAAUCUCUCUGGAGUUUGAGCAAUGGCAGAACCUUUAAUAUGUUACAGAUUCUC